GACGAACCGUGCGAACGUUAUUCGGAAUUACUGGGCUUAAAGCGCGUGUAGGCGGGCCGGCACGUCGAGCGUUGAAAUCCCCCGGCUCAACCGGGGAAGGGGCCUCGAUACGACCGGCCUGGAGGGGGGUAGGGGGAUCGGGAACUUCCGGUGGAGCGGUGAAAUGCGUUGAGAUCGGAAGGAACGCCCGCGGCGAAAGCGCGGUCCUGGACCCCACCUGACGCUGAGACGCGAAAGCCAGGGGAGCGAACGGG
rnacentral:rRNA from 2 species